rnacentral:rRNA from 1 species
UACGGAGGAUGCAAGCGUUAUCCGGAAUGAUUGGGCGUAAAGGGUCCGCAGGUGGCAGUGUAAGUCUGCUGUCAAAGAAUGAGGCUUAACCUCAUCAAGGCAGUGGAAACUACACAGCUAGAGUACGGUCGGGGUAGAAGGAAUUCCUGGUGUAGCGGUGAAAUGCGUAGAGAUCAGGAAGAACACCCGUGGCGAAGGCGGCUCUCUGGGACGGUACUGACGCUGAGACGCGAAGGUCAGGGGAGCAAACGGG